GGUCUCGUAGUUUAGUGGUUUAUAACGCUCGCCUUACUAGCGAGAGGUCGCCAUUUCGAUCAUGGCCGGGAUCA
rnacentral:tRNA from 1 species